rnacentral:rRNA from 1 species
UACGGGGGGGGCAAGCGUUGUUCGGAAUUACUGGGCGUAAAGGGCUCGUAGGUGGCCAACUAAGUCAGACGUGAAAUCCCUCGGCUUAACCGGGGAACUGCGUCUGAUACUGGAUGGCUAGAGUUUGGGAGAGGGAUGCGGAAUUCCAGGUGUAGCGGUGAAAUGCGUAGUUAUCUGGAGGAACACCGGUGGCGAAGGCGGCAUCCUGGACCAACACUGACGCUGAGGAGCGAAAGCCAGGGGAGCAAACGGG